UACGUAAUUAAAUAGAAGUAUCGGUAGGAUAAUUAUUAAGUGUCGGUUGUAUUAUUUGUGAUGUAACAUCAAGUGUGUAACCCUCAAUAGUCUAGGGGCUAUAAUGUAAAUAUAUAUGUCGUAUUGCAAUCAAACGAUUGCAACAAUAAUUGUAACCGGCUCUCUUGAGCAUCAAAAGUGUAUCCCACUUCAUUUUCUUCGUUAAUAAUAAUGAUUGGUGUAUUUUCUUUUUCCUGAGACAUAUUUAAUAAAUUAUUCUUGUUAUUUUAUCUUCAAGAUUUUUUAUUUGUUAAUAUUUAAACUUGAAAAACUCAUGAUUAUAAUUUUUAGAAACAAAAUGAUAAUUUAUUUUUUCUUUCAAAGUUACGAUUUAUCAAUUCUAAUAAGAUGUUGAUGGUGGGGUUUUCUAAUACUAUUAUAUUUAUGAUGCAGUUAGAGAAUUAAAAACCUCUUUGACAUAUGAAAUGUGUUUCUAACUUCUUGGUACAUAGUCAUAAUUGUAAAAACUCUUCUACCGACAUAUGUUUAAAUUGUAGGUGGAUAGUAGUAUUUGAUUUUAAUAAUGAGUUUAUGAUAACAACUUAUAACGAUGAAUUAUUGUAACGAUGAAUAUAUUGGAAUAGUGUCUAAGGCUGCAACUAUAUUAGGCAAAUAUUUGACCCGGUUGUGCAUGGUCCUUUUGGGUUGCCUUCACCAUAGCAACUUGAUAGGAUGAUUUAUUAUGAGAGAGUAAAUAUUAUUAAUAUAUUAUGAGAAUAAUAUAAAGAAUAAUAUAUUGUUAUUUUAUUAAUAUAAGUCAUAGAAUUAAUUGGAAUUAAUUUGGUGACUUAAAGAGAUUAAUUAAAUAAAGGGGUAUAAACUGUCAAUUGUUUGAUAGUUAAGCUUUAGACUGUAAAUCCUUAUAGAUAGAGAUGGGACGAAUUCUAGAAGCUAAUGGAUAGCUAAAUUCGUCCAAGGCUUAUCUAAGGAAAGGAUUUGGAUAGCCUUAAGAGAAGAUUAUCCAAUUAGGGUUUAGGUUGUAACCCUUAAGGAGUCUACAAGUAUAAAUAGACCCUAUGGCAUAAGGAAACCGGCACCUCACCUAAAGUAAGAGAACCCUGGCCGAUUUCCUCCCCUCUCAUCUCUCCUAAAUCAUCUUUCUUGCUAUUGGUGUUUGUAAGCCAUUAGAGGAGUGACAUUUGUGACUCUAGAAGCUCCAAGACCACAUGAUCAACAAGGAACUCAAAGGUAUGGUUCUACAUCUGUUUCAAUGUUGUUAUUUAACCUAAUUAGGCAUUAGAAGUCUUGGAUUCAAAGCAUGUUUAAUUAGAAAGCCUAGAUCCAAGCAAUAGGGUUUUGCAUGCGCACAUAGGAAAGUCCUUAUGGCUAAAACCCAUCAGUGGUAUCAGAGCCUAGCUUGGUUUUCUUUAAAUUGUUGCUUGAUUAACUGAAACAAACCUGCAAAAUUCGAUUUUUUGGUUUCUGAGUCAUGGACUCGGCGAGUUCCAAAGUGGACUCGGCGAGUAGGCCUGACUCGGCGAGUCCCUUUGUGCACUCGGCGAGUCCAGGCGUCAGGAAUAGCCAGAUUCAGGAUUUUUUCAUAAUUAUCUUAUGGAAACUUAUCUUAAUCAUAAUUGAUCAAUCUAAAUCCGAUUUUUUGAUAUAUAUAUGACUAUUAUCUUGAUCUAGUUAAAGGUAUUUAUCAUCUAAUAAAAUAUUUAAUUUCCUUAUAUGAUAAUUAAUUAAUUAUUUUAAUUAUUUUGGUAAUUAUCCUUCAAAGAAAUCUUGAAUAAAAUCAAAUAUAGAUAAUUAGGAUAUUAAUUGUUAAUUGGAAUUAUUUGUUAUUUAAUCCUCCAUGUUUUAAAUGUUUAAAACUUGCCCUCAAGUUUUGAAAUUUAUAUUUGUGAUUAAAAGUUUUAAUUUAGACAACUUAAAUUUCAAACCCUAGAUUUUAAGGUAUAAUCUUAUCUUAAUCUUUCUUAAUACCGUCAUGUUGUUAAAUUUGGUAUCAGAGCAAUUAAUCCGUCAUCAUGUUAUUUUGAAUUUGGUAUCAGAGCUAAGUAACGUUCUUACUAUUAUUUUGAAUAUUAAAUCUUUCAUUCAUAUGAAUAUAUGUUCAUCAUGCAUCAUCAUAUAUAUUCUUAUAAAUAUUCAUCGUUACAAACAUUCAUCGUUAUAAGUUAUAAACUCAUUAUUAAAAUCAAAUAUUAUUAUCCACCUACAAUUUAAACAUAUGUCCGUAGAAGUUUUUUUUACAACUAUGACUAUGUACCAAGAAGUUAGUAACACAUUUCAUAUGUCAAAAAAGAUUUUAAUUCUCUGACUGCAUCAUAAAUAUAAUAGUAUUAAAAAACCCCACCAUCAAUAUCCUAUUAGAAUUUAUAAAUCGUAACUUUGAAAAAAAUUAUAAUAACUAAAUAAAUUAUCAUUUUGUUUCUAAAAAUUAUAAUCAUAAGUUUUUCAAGUUUAAAUAUUAACAAAUAAAAAAUCUUGAAAAUAAAAUAACAAGAAUAAUUUAUUAAAUAUGUCUCAAGAAAUAGAAAAUACACCAAUCAUUAUUAAUAACGAAGAAAAUGAAUCGGGAUACACCUUUGAUGCUCUAAUUAAUAAAAAUAAUAUUAAUAAAGAUGCUAUAAGAAAAUCAAAUUUUACACUAUCUGAAAAACAUAAUUUUAGUUAUAACUCAUUGAGAGAAGAUUAUACAUGAAUGAUGCGGUGGAUUAUAUAGAUGAUGGAUUAUGUAGAAUGAUUGGAUGAUUAUGUGGAUAAUUUGAAUAGGGCUCUGCUAUUUAGAAAUAGAACAACUAUUUCAACAGAGAAGACAAUUGAGAUCAACUCAAGUCUUAAACACUCAAACUUAACUUGUUUAUUUCAUAUGGGCAAAGGCCCUAUUCAUAGGCUCAAGAGAGCCGGUUGCAAUCGUUCGAUUGCAAUACGACAUACAUAUUUACAUUAUAAUUCCCGAGACUAUUGACGGUUACACACUUUAUGUUACAUCUCAAAUAAUACAACCGACACUUAAUAAUUAUCCUACCGACACUUCUAUUUAAUUACGUAAAAGUAACAAUCCUUUAUUUAAGACACGUGUCCUUUCAACGUGGAAGGGAUUGUUAUUUUUACGUAAUUAAAUAGAAGUGUCGGUAGCAUAAUUAUUAAGUGUCCGUUGUAUUAUUUGUGAUGUAACAUAAAGCGUGUAACCCUCAAUAGUCUAGGGGGCUAUAAUGUAAAUAUGUAUGUCGUAUUGCAAUCAAACGAUUGCAACAAUAAUUGUAACCAGCCCUCUUGAGCAUCAAAAGUGUAUCCCACUUCAUUUUCUUCGUUAUUAAUAAUGAUUGGUGUAUUUUCUAUUUCUUGAGACAUAUUUAAUAAAUUAUUCUUGUUAUUUUAUCUUCAAGAUUUUUUAUUUGUUAAUAUUUAAACUUGAAAAACUCAUGAUUCUAAUUUUUAGAAACAAAAUGAUAAUUUAUUUUCUCUUUCAAAGUUACGAUUUAUAAAUUCUAAUAAGAUGUUGAUGGUGGGGUUUUUUAAUAUUAUUAUAUUUAUGAUGCAGUUAGAGAAUUAAAAACCUCUUUGACAUAGAAAUGUGUUUCUAACUUCUUGGUACAUAGUCAUAAUUGUAAAAAACCUUCUCCCGACAUAUGUUUAAAUUGUAGGUGGAUAGUAGUAUUUGAUUUUAAUAAUGAGUUUAUGAUAAUAACUUAUAACGAUGAAUGUUUGUAACGAUGAAUAUUUAUAAGAAUAUAUAUGAUGAUGCAUGAUGAACAUAUAUUCAUAUGAACGAAAGAUUUAAUAUUCAAAAUAAUAGUAAGAACGUUACUUAGCUCUGAUACCAAAUUUAAAAUAACAUGAUGACGGAUUAGUUACUCUCAUACCAAAUUUAAAGACAUGACGGAAUUAAUAAAGAUUAAGAGAAGAUUAUACCUGAAUGAUGCGGUGGAUUAUAUUGAUGAUGGAUUAUGUUGAAUAAUUAGAUGGUUAUGUGGAUAAUUUGGAUAGAACUCUGCUAUUCAAAAAUAGAAAAACUAUUUCAACAGAGAAGAAAGUUGAGAUCAACUCAAGUCUUAAACACUCAAACUUAACUUGUUUAUUUCAUAUGGGCAAAGGCCCUAUUUAUAGGCUCAAGAGAGUCGGUUACAAUUAUUGUUGCAAUCGUCUGAUUGCAAUACAACAUACAUAUUUACAUUGUAACCCCCUAGACUAUUGAGGGUUACACACUUUAAGUUUGGCAAUUACAAUUACGUCAAUUUCACCCAUACCUCAAGUAUAUCAAAAGUGCCAACAACCAUAUAGCCGACACACUAACAAGUGAAUGGAAGCCAUCAUAAAGCAACCCAGAUAAGAAGCAACACUAUUCAUGGAAGACUAACACAAGAAUUAAAAAAUAUCAGCUUUUUCGGAGGCGGGAGGAAUGACGCAAGCAAUGACAUAAAAAGCCAUUAUUGAAGAUUAACAGGAGGAAUACCGUAAGCAAUGACGUAAAAUGCCAUUAUUGAAGACACCUAAUAACGUAAGCAAUGACGUAAAAAGCCAUUAUUGAAGACAACUGUCUUUUCAAUGUGGAAGGGAUUAUUAUAUUUUUAAUUAUGUAAAGUGUUGGUAGAAUUAUUUGUAUUUGUCGGUAGGAUAAUUAUUAAGUGUCUGUUGUAUUAUUUGUGAUGUAACAUAAAGUGUGUAACCCUCAAUAGUCUAGGGGCCUAUAAUGUAAAUAUGUAUGUCGUAUUGCAAUCAAACGAUUGCAACAAUAAUUGUAACCAGCUCUCUUGAGCCUAUAAAUAGGGCAUUUGCCCAUAUGAAAUAAACAAGUUAAGUUUGAGUGUUUAAGACUUGAGUUGAUCUCAAUUGUCUUCUCUGUUGAAAUAGUUGUUAUAUUUCUGAAUAGCAGAGUUCUAUCCAAAUUAUCCACAUAAUCAUCCAAUUAUUCAACAUAAUUCAUCGUCAAUAUAAUCCACUGCAUCAUUCAGGUAUAAUCUUAUCCUAAUCUUUCUUAAUUCCGUCAUGUUAUUAAAUUUGGUAUCAGAGCAAUUAAUCCAUCAUCAUGUUAUUUUAAAUUUGGUAUCAGAGCUAAGUAACAUUCUUACUAUUAUUUUGAAUAUUAAAUCUUUCAUUCAUAUGAAUAUAUGUUCGUCAUGCAUCACCAUAUAUAUUCUUAUAAAUAUUCAUCGUUACAAACAUUCAUCGUUAUAAGUUAUAAACUCAUUAUUAAAAUCAAAUAUUAUUAUCCACCUACAAUUUAAACAUAUGUCCGUAGAAGUUUUUUUACAAUUAUGACUAUGUACCAAGAAGUUAGAAACACAUUUCAUAUGUCAAAAAAGUUUUUAAUUCUCUGACUGCAUCAUAAAUAUAAUAGUAUUAAAAAACCCCACCAUCAACAUCUUAUUAGAAUUUAUAAAUCGUAACUUUGAAAAAAAUAUAAUAAAUAAAUAAAUUAUCAUUUUGUUUCUAAAAAUUAUAAUCAUAAGUUUUUGAAGUUUAAAUAUUAACAAAUAAAAAAUCUUGAAAAUAAAAUAACAAGAAUAAUUUAUUAAAUAUGUCUCAAGAAAUAGAAAAUACACCAAUCAUUAUUAAUAACGAAGAAAAUGAAUCGGGAUACACUUUUGAUGUUCUAAUUAAUAAAAAUAAUAUUAAUAAAGAUGCUAUAAGAAAAUCAAAUUUUACAGUAUCUGAAAAACAUAAUUUUAGAUAUAACUCAUUGAGAGAAGAUUAUACAUGAAUGAUGCGGUGGAUUAUAUUGAUGAUGGAUUAUGUUGAAUGAUUGGAUGAUUAUGUGGAUAAUUUGGAUAGGGCUCUGCUAUUCAGAAAUAGAACAACUAUUUCAACAGAGAAGACAAUUGAGAUCAACUCAAGUCUUAAACACUCAAACUUAACGUGUUUAUUUCAUAUGGGCAAAGGCCCUAUUUAUAGGCUCAAGAGAGUCGGUUACAAUUAUUGUUGCAAUCGUUUGAUUGCAAUACGACAUACAUAUUUACAUUAUAGCCUUCUAGACUAUUGAGGGUUACACACUUUAUGUUACAUCACAAAUAAUACAACCGACACUUAAUAAUUAUCCUACCGACACUCAAGUAUAUAUCGGGAACAUUUUCCCAAACGGAGCAAAAUUACAGCACACAUGAACUAGAAACACUAGCAUGUCUCAAAACAUUGAAAAAAUGGAAAGUCGACCUACUCCAAACCAGAUUCGAGCUACGCACAGAUUCCAAAUAUCUACUUGGCUUUUGGCGAUAUAAAUUACAAGAAGAUUAUUAUCGUGGACGUUUAAUCCGUUGGCAAUUACAAUUACAUCAAUUUCACCCAUACCUCAAGUAUAUCAAAAGUCCCAACAACCGUAUAGCAGACACACUAACAAGUGAACGGAAGCCAUCAUAAAGCAACCCAGAUAAGAAGCAACACUAUUCAUGGAAGACUAACACACGAAUUAAAAAAUAUCUGCUUUUUCGGAGACGGGAGGAAUGACCUUCUCAAAAUCUAUGCUACACGUUUUGGUGUUGAUUUUUCCCAUUUGAGUUUGUUUCAACAAUUUCUCUUUUGAUAUCCCUUUGGACUCACAAAAAUAAAUAAAUAAAUAAUAGAGCUUUUGCUCAAGCGGUAAUGUGUUGCUCGUUUCGAAACUAGAAACAAUUUGGGAUUCAAGAACUUGAAGAGUCCCAUAGAGAUGACGAUGAGAUUCAGUGAACCUCUUUAUUAAAGCAAAGAUUGCUAGCUUGGAUUGGCAUGAUUAGUGUUGUUAGCUUGUUCUAUCUCAUUGUUAGGUUCUUCUAUUAAAAGUCGGUUGAUGCUCUAAAAAAUUCUUACUAUUUGUAAAUCAUUAAAUUUGCAUUGUGAUACUCGUGUAUCUGAAAUACGAAACAAGAACAAUAAUUUGUUGGUUUUCCAUCCACCGAGUUUAACCUCUUAGAUCAAUAUAUCAUUAAUUUAACUAUCAUUGAUGAUAUUGUUUCUUGUGGAUUAGUAACAGACACAUCAAUUGUAAUCUCAAUUGGGUUUGCUAGUUUUUCCAUUUAAUUUUGUCUAGCUCUUUCUAGUCAUCUAAUAUAAUUUCUGCCUUUCCAUAAAAUAUAUUUCAAUUAUUUCAACCCGUAUAUUCUUUUACAAACCCUUUUUGUUGAUAUCACCAAUCAUUUUACUCAUUAAUCACAAAACAAAACUCAAUUCUAUCCAUUAAUACAUAAACAAGUAGAAAUCACACACUACGUUACAUAAUUUAUAAAACAUUCACAAAUCUUAAUCAUAGGGAUUCCUAAAAUUCUUCAAAAGGUCGGGAAUAUCAUAUCCCAACAUAUCAUCAACAGUCUGGAUCAUUUUAGGCUUCAAUUUCUCAAAUUUGUCCAAAUUGUACCCACUCAAUCUCUCCCUGAAACUUUCUACAUAUGGGAAAUCUCCCGCCGGUAAAUGAUGCUCCCUUUGUA